AACUAAGUUUGUUCUGAGUAUGAGCUUUCGUGUGCAUGCACAGUUCUUCAGAUACUUCAGAUUCUUCAGGUAUCUGAAGAAGUGUGCAUGCACACGAAAGCUUAUACUGUACCCAGAACAAACUUA